rnacentral:rRNA from 1 species
UAGGGAAUCUUCGGCAAUGGGGGGAACCCUGACCGAGCAACGCCGCGUGAGUGAAGAAGGUUUUCGGAUCGUAAAGCUCUGUUGUUAAGGAAGAACGAGUGUGAGAAUGGAAAGUUCAUACUGUGACGGUACUUAACCAGAAAGGGACGGCUAACUACGUGCCAGCAGCCGCGGUAAUACGUAGGUCCCGAGCGUUGUCCGGAUUUAUUGGGCGUAAAGCGAGCGCAGGCGGUUAGAUAAGUCUGAAGUUAAAGGCAGUGGCUCAACCAUUGUAGGCUUUGGAAACUGUUUAACUUGAGUGCAGAAGGGGAGAGGGGAAUUCCAUGUGUAGCGGUGAAAUGCGUAGAUAUAUGGAGGAACACCAGUGGCGAAGGCGACUCUCUGGUCUGUAACUGACGCUGAGGCUCGAAAGCGUGGGUAGCAAACAGG